rnacentral:sRNA from 2 species
CCUCGGUGGGCGCCGAACCCUGCCGACCGCCGAGGGCGCACCUCGAGCACGAGAGGCAGGGACGGGGGACCCAGGAGUGCGGGCACCACGGUGCCCUCGGGGUGAAGCCACGACGUGGCCGGGAGACUUCCGCCCGAACCCGACAGCUAACCUCGCAGGCGUACGGGAGGUCUUGU